rnacentral:rRNA from 1 species
UACGUAGGGUGCGAGCGUUAAUCGGAAUUACUGGGCGUAAAGCGUGCGCAGGCGGUCUUGCAAGACAGAUGUGAAAUCCCCGGGCUCAACCUGGGAACUGCAUUUGUGACUGCAUCGCUGGAGUACGGCAGAGGGGGAUGGAAUUCCGCGUGUAGCAGUGAAAUGCGUAGAUAUGCGGAGGAACACCGAUGGCGAAGGCAAUCCCCUGGGCCUGUACUGACGCUCAUGCACGAAAGCGUGGGGAGCAAACAGG